GUUCUCCAGCCGAGGCUCGGGACUGCUGCAGGGUGGAAAAUGAAAGUUCUGAGAGCACCUUCCGCCCCUCCGCUUCUGCACAGCCGGGGCUGCGGUGCGAGGAGCUUGGCCGCGGGGCCCGAACGAGGCGAAGGGGCCGGGGCCCUUGGGGAACCCCCUUCUCUCUUCCACUCUCCCUUAGGUAAAACCCGUGUUCCUCUCACGCUCGACCCAGCGCCUUUCCAGCUGCGGUCGAUUUGCUUCUCCGCGUGUAAGUACAGCCACCCUCAAGGUCAUUGAAAAAGUUUGCUUUAAAUGAGCGUCUGCGGAACUCGUCCUGAGGCUCUCACUGUUACAGAUUAGAGAUGGGGGCGCUUUCUAGUGGAGGAUUUUGCUUUUGCUCUUCUACUUUUGCAAGAAGCUUUUUGUCCUGAAAAGUGGACAGUCAUCUCCAUUUAUAGCUUGGAAUGAAAAUUUGACUAUGGAAGUUGCAGUCGCUACUUGAGAAAUAUUUCCUCCUUCUUUUUUUUUUUUUUUUUUUAUUUUUGACACGGAGUUUUGCUGUUGUUGCCCAAGCUGGAGAGCAGUGCGCGAUCUCGGCUCACUGCAACCUCCGCCUUCCGGUUUCAAGCGAUUCUCCUGCCUCAGCCUCCCGAGUAGGCGGGAUUACAGGUAUGUGCCACCAUGCCCGGCUAAUUUUUGUAUUUUUAGUAGACACGGGGUUUCACCAUGUUGGCCAGGCUGGUCUCGAACUCCUGACCUCGUGAUCCACCCGCUUCGGCCUCCCAGGUCCUCCUUCCGUUUUAAAGGAUAAACCUUGAAAUGCUUUUAAAAUAUGCAGCGUGUAGAAUUUGGUUAGUUGGUUGGUUGGGGUUUUUUAGAGAAAAUGAGAGGUAGAAUGGACUCUAAGUUAAACCCUGGGGGACAGUGUCACUCUGGCCGCUGGCCUGGCUGGGAAAGGCGAUGAGACCCUGAGCAGGAUCUC
rnacentral:lncRNA from 1 species